UACGAAGGGGGCUAGCGUUGCUCGGAAUCACUGGGCGUAAAGCGCACGUAGGCGGAUCGCUAAGUCAGGGGUGAAAUCCUGGAGCUCAACUCCAGAACUGCCUUUGAUACUGGCAAUCUCGAGUCCGGGAGAGGUGAGUGGAACUGCGAGUGUAGAGGUGAAAUGCGUAGAUAUCGUAAGGAAGACCAGUGGCGAAGGCGGGUCUCUGGACAGUUCCUGACGCUGAGGCACGAAGGCCAGGGGAGCAAACGGG
rnacentral:rRNA from 1 species